rnacentral:misc_RNA from 1 species
GAUGAAGAACGCAGCGAAAUGCGAUACGUAAUGUGAAUUGCAGAAUUCAGAGAAUCAUCGAAUCUUUGAACGCAUAUUGCGCUCUCUGGUAUUCCGGAGAGCAUGCUUGUUUGAGUAUCAGUAAACACCUCAACUCCCCUUUCUUUUUUUGAAAUGGGAGCUGGACUUGAGUGAUCCCAACGCUUUUCUCACCGAAAAGUGGCGGGUUACUUGAAAUGCAGGUGCAGCUGGACUUUUCUCUGAGCUAAAAGCAUAUCUAUUUAGUCUGCCUAAAAAACAGAUUAUUACCUUUGCUGCAGCUAACAUAAAGGAGAUUAGUUCUUGUGCUGACUGAUGCAGGAUUCACAGAGACAGCUUCGGCUGGCCUUUGUAAACUCGAUCUCAAAUCAAGUAAGACUACCCGCUGAACUUAAGCAUAUCAAUAAGCGGAGGA